rnacentral:rRNA from 1 species
UACGGGGGGGGCAUGCGUUGUUCGGAAUUACUGGGCGUAAAGGGCUCGUAGGUGGCCAACUAAGUCAGACGUGAAAUCCCUCAGCUUAACUGGGGAACUGCGUCUGAUACUGGAUGGCUUGAGUUUGGGAGAGGGAUGCGGAAUUCCAGGUGUAGCGGUGAAAUGCGUAGAUAUCUGGAGGAACACCGGUGGCGAAGGCGGCAUCCUGGACCAAUACUGACACUGAGGAGCGAAAGCCAGGGGAGCAAACGGG